rnacentral:lncRNA from 1 species
CAAACAGGGGGGGGGGAGCAGAGGGGAGGGGGGGGCGGGGGCGGGCCGCGCUCGCUCCCUGCCAAGGGCGGGCGGGGAGGAGGGAGGGGGGGGGAAACCAAUUGGAGGGGGGGGGAGGUCGCGAUUCGAUUGGUCGGGGGGCGCGGGGGGCGGGGCCAGCGGGCCCGCCGCCUUGGUGCAGUGCUGAGGAGGCGCCAGGCGGGGGCUGCUGCCGCCGCCGCGCGUCGAGGGGUCUCGCGCGCUUCCCGCCCUCCGCGACGCCUCUCGCGCCCCCCUCGCCUCAGGGCCAGCCCCGCUGUGGCACCUCCGCGGGCGGCCGUGGCUCCGCGGCCCCAAGGGGAUAGGAGCGCAUCCAGCCGUGCCCAACAGGCCCUCACGCCACCUGCCUGCCUGCCCUCCCUCCUUCCCCUCCUCUCGGCAGCCCCGGGUUGCGCCACACGCAGGAAAAGCCUCCGCAGCUCUGCCCGCGGCGCUCGUCCCCUCCCUGAGAGGCUGGUGCCUUGCGCACCCCUCAAAAACAGAUCCUCCAUCGCCACAGGGACACCCCCCGAGCACCAUCAUCCCCUCAGGGACCACCAAAAGCUGCUCCUCCAUCGCCACAGAGACCCCCCUGGACACCGUCAUUCCCUCAGGGACCCCAAAAACUGCUCCUCCAUCGCCACAGGGACCCCCCUGGACGCCAUCGUUACUUCAGGGACCCCAAACCCAGCUCUUCUGUCACCACAGGGACCCCCCUGGGCACCACCGCUCCCUCACGCACCCCAAACCCAGCUCUCGUUCCCUCACGCACCCCGGGGCUCCGCUCCUCGUCGCCACAGCACCUCCAACGCAGCUCCUCCAUCGCCGCAGGGACCCCCCUGGGCACCACCGUUCCCUCACACACCCCAAACCCCGCUCCUCCAUCGCCACAGGGUCCCCCCUCAGGACCACCAUUCCCUCAGGAGCCCCAAGGCUUUGCUCCUUGCCACAGGGACCCCGGUGAACGCCACCGUCCCCUCACGCACCCCCAAAUCCAGCUCCUCCAUUGCCGCAGCGUCUCCUCUCAGCACCGCCAUUCCCUCAGGCGCCCCAAGGCUCCGCGCCUCAUCGCCGCAGCGUCCCCCCUCGACGCCACUGUUCCCUCAGGCACCCCAAAACCCCACACCUCAACGCCAUGGGGUCUCCUCACCACCCCAGGAUCUCCUUUCGGCAUCACCAUUCCCUCAGGCACCCCAAAUCCCACUCCUCGACGCCAUGGGGUCCCCUCCGCUCCCUGCCGCUCCCUCACGCCCUCCAGAACCCAGCUCCGUAGCACCAUGGCGUUCUCUCCGUCCCCAUCCAGCACCCCAAAACCUCGCUCCUUGA